UACGUAGGGUGCAAGCGUUAAUCGGAAUUACUGGGCAUAAAGCGUGCGCAGGCGGUUUUGUAAGUCAGAUGUGAAAUCCCCGGGCUUAACCUGGGAACUGCGUUUGAAACUACAAGGCUAGAGUGUGGCAGAGGGGGGUGGAAUUCCACGUGUAGCAGUGAAAUGCGUAGAGAUGUGGAGGAACACCGAUGGCGAAGGCAGCCCCCUGGGUUAACACUGACGCUCAGGCACGAAAGCGUGGGGAGCAAACAGG
rnacentral:rRNA from 1 species